UUAAUUUGGAGAUAUCAUCAUCAAUUAGUGAUUUGAUCCCAAUCAAAUCCCUAAUUGAUUCAAUCUCUACAAUUUGGAGAAAGAAUAUCUUCCUUCCAAAUAAGAAUAUAUUCUUUGAAAAACUUUGGAUGCCUAGAGCCUUAAAAAUACAUGGCUACAUUCAACACACAAGGUAAUCUGAAACUCAACUCGAAAACCCUACUCUCUCUCUUGCC
rnacentral:lncRNA from 1 species